GGUUUUCUAAUUUAUAAAGAAUCUUUGCUUUGCAUGCAAAAAGAAUACAUAUGUAUGAAGGCCA
rnacentral:tRNA from 1 species